UCAUAACAAACCUGAAAUUCAUAUGUAUCUUACUAACUCGCGUGUAUUCCACCAAGAAAUAAAUAUGAGAGGAUGACUUAGAGGGAUGGUGACGCUAUUGAUUAUGAAUCUUAUGAAUCAAGCACGGUACACUUUCUAUAUCUCCUCUGUCUACAAGGUAAACAACUUAGCUCAGAGCAUAUUUAUCCUUACGCAAAAUAAGAACAUAAAUCUAUACGUCCUAACUGAUACGUUAAUGGAAACGUGAUUCACACGCCCUAACCGAUACCUCAAAAUAGGAAUAAGAAUUCAAAGGCACUAACCGAUCAAUGAAUCCCAACUUAUCCAUGCGAGAUCACCCCAAGGAUAUAUUGCUCUAAUUACCUCCUGAGGUUGUUGUGAUUCAUUGAUCUGUUAGUGCCUGUGAAUUCAUAUUCCUAUUUUGAGGUUGUUGUGAUUGCUCUAUAUGUGUGUGUGCGCGCGCAGUAUAAUGACUAUGCAGUUUUUACCAUGUAGCAUAAGUACAAGAAACUCAAAAUGUUAAAUUAACAUGUCAAAAAUUUCUAUAACAUUAUUCUAACACGAACAUGAUGUUUAAGUAGUCAUACCAUAAAUUAUACUAUAUUAUAAGUGUAAAAAUCUUAGUACGAAGUUAUUUUACUAAAAUAUCCUUUAAAAGUUAAACGACCAAAAUACCCUCUAAAUUACCCUCUACCUAAAAUGUAUGAUACUUUUGCCAAAUCAUUUUGUGUGAACUGAAAAUUAAAUUGGCUAUUUAAUUGGGGUCCUAAUAAAUUGUGUAUUAUGGGUGCCGUGAACGUGGGAUUGGAUAUUUAACACCACCAAAGCGUUUUCAUCUCCAACCAUUAAUUAAUCUACAAAGUGGUGCUAUAAAUUUUUUGGGUUUCUCUGUCAUUAUUCUUUUCUUCAUUUGCAGCAAAUACCAAUGGCCAUCCGUUACACAAUAGACUGCUAAUCAAUUAUUGUAUCUGCUGAAAAAUAGUAGCAGCCUACCGGUAAACUUAUAAAAAUAGAGUAACAAAUCAAAAAUAUGCAUAACCAUCACCACAAAAAGAAACAAUAGAUGGAAAGCUGCAGAUGUACCAAGUAAGUUAAUUUUUUGGUUAGUUCUUAUGAGUAUUCAUGAAACUAUAUAUUCU
rnacentral:lncRNA from 1 species